GUCCCAGUUUACCUAAAUCCUUCAAUGGAUUCUACCAGGUCCCAGUUUACCUAAACCCUUCAAUGGAUUCUACCAGGUCCCAGACAGUUUACCUAAACCCUCCAAUGGAUUCUACCAGGUCCCAGUUUACCUAAACCCUUCAAUGGAUUCUACCAGGUCCCAGACAGUUUACCUAAACCCUUCAAUGGAUUCUACCAGGUCCCAGACAGUUUACCUAAACCCUUCAAUGGAUUCUACCAGGUCCCAGUUUACCUAAACCCUUCAAUGGAUUCUACCAGGUCCCAGACAGUUUACCUAAACCCUUCAAUGGAUUCUACCAGGUCCCAGUUUACCUAAACCCUUCAAUGGAUUCUACCAGGUCCCAGUUUACCUAAACCCUACAAUGGAUUCUACCAGGUCCCAGACAGUUUACCUAAACCCUUCAAUGGAUUCUACCAGGUCCCAGACAGUUUACCUAAACCCUUCAAUGGAUUCUACCAGGUCCCAGUUUACCUAAACCCUUCAAUGGAUUCUACCAGGUCCCAGUUUACCUAAACCCUACAAUGGAUUCUACCAGGUCCCAGACAGUUUACCUAAACCCUUCAAUGGAUUCUACCAGGUCCCAGUUUACCUAAACCCUCCAAUGGA